CUCCCAUCUCAACAAAACUCUGUGUUUCCUCAUCAGCUGCGCAGUCUGUCAAACUUCUGUCAGGAGUAAACACUUCACUUUAACACAGAGAAGAUGAGAAAAAAAGAGACUGAAACUGAAAGACAAGAUGAGCUUGAUAGAAACAGAUGAUUUGAUUGAAAUGAAGAAGGAGAAGAAGAUGUAAUCAGCCGCUCCUGUCGUCCCUUAUCUUCAGUAGUCACAACAAAUUGCUGCUUCUUCUGUAUAUUUGUAGUGCUGAUAAACAAAGUGUGUCCGCAGGUUACAGUGGAGGCUGUUGUUGGUGGUUCUGUUGUCCUGCCGUGUUCGUCAGCUAAACGUGAUCUUAAACUUGAAGACAUUAAUGUGCACUGGAGACAGAAUGACGGAAUACAUGUUUAUGACAUUAUUAAAGGCAAAGAUUUAAUGGCAGACCAGGACCCACAAUGCAAGAACAGAAUCAAAACUUUCCCUGAGGAGUAUGUGAGAAGAAAUUUCUCCAUCAAACUCACCGGUCUCACUCACGCUGAUGCAGGAAAAUACAUCUGUCAUAUCACACCAUCAAAUGAACGGAAGACUGUACUGCUGAAUAUCAAUGAACCAACUACAGAAAAAGGAAAGAAAACUACUGAUCAACAAAACCAAGAGGAAAUCAGACCAGACAGUUUUAGGAAUUCUUGGCUUUUGAUCCUGGUUGGCACUCUGUUACCUACACUGUUUAUACUUUUCAUUGUAAUCUUUAGACAAAAGAUCUCAUGCUGCCUUAUGUCAGGUGAACACUGCAUGCGUUCAGACGCUCAUGAGGUUAACUGCUGAUGAUCAUGAUGAAGUGGAUAAAGAAGGUAAAUGACACAGAUGUGCAGCUUUGCGUACUGAGUUGUGCUGUGCUGCUGAGCAGUGAGUGUGUUACUGCAUUUUCCUCAUGUGCACACUUCAUGUAUGCUUUCUGACAAAUUCAAGCAGAUUCCCCAAAUUUUUCAGCAUUUUUAAAAAUUGUUGUAAGCUUGCAAGAUGCUCAUCACUAAAUCACUAUGGAGAGCUUGUAGUCAUAUUUUACAGCAGCUGGUAUGAUUUUUGUUAGGAAACUGCAUACUUUCAUUAUUUUUCCCUGUGUGUGUCAUGUCUGUAAAUGAUGAAUGAUAAAUGAAAAAUCAGGCUAUACCACUAUAUGCAGCUGACAAUGUCAUAGUAGCUUGAAGUCUCAACAAAUUAAUGUUUUUAUUUUGUUUGUUUGUUUUGUUUUUUGUUGUUGUUGUUGGUUUUAUUUAUUUAUUUAUUUAUUGUGUAGCAAUUUGUGUAGCAUUACAUUUGCUGCUCAUUGACAUGAUUCACAAAUGUUUAUGUUGGUAACAUUGCCAGUCUAUGCUGUGUUGAUCUGCUUGCCUUUAAAUAGCCUGUUAAAUGGAUAGUUUACUCAAAAAGUUAAAUUUUGUCAUUAAUUACUCACCCUCAUGUCGUUCCAAACCUGUAAAACCUUUGUUCAUAUUUGGAACAUAAAUUAAGAUAUUAUUGAUGAAAUCCGAGAGCUUUCUGACCCUCUGUAGACAGCAAGGGUCCUACCAUGGUCAAGGACCAGAAAGGUACCAAGAACAUUAACAAAAUAGUCAAUCUGACAUCAUGGUUCAACCGUAAUUGUAUGAAGUAAGGCUGUGCAAAUAUUCAGAUGCAAUUAUCAUGUGCAUCUUGUCAGUGAUGCCAGUUCUGUGAUUAGGUGUCAGCUGUCAGAGCGACGUUUGAGCCGUAGUUCACUGACAAGCUACGCAAUAUCACGUUCAUUAUCACCUCUGAUAAUGAACGUGAUAUUGCGUAGCUUGUCAGUGAACUACAGCCCUAGUAUGAAGCUAAGAGAAUACUUUUUGUAAAGUAUAAAUAAAAAAGUAAAGAUAAAUAAAAAAUAACUUUAUUUAACAAUUCCUCUCCUCUGUGUCACCCUAACUUCUUAAAAGUUACAUAUUUAUGCUUUAAUAACUAUUUUUAUAUUUUGCACUGUUUGAUUUAUUUUUCUGACUUUCAUGUAAAGUGUUUUUAAAUACCAUUGUAUAUGUAUUACUGUACUCACACCUUUCUGGUGCAGAAGAUAAUGUUUUGUACUGUUAUAUUCUUAAUGUAUAACAGAAUGAGACCUUGAAACAUGGAAAUGAGAAUAUUUUUGGCUGAAGAUAAAGGAAAAUGAGUCUGUCAAUAUGUAUGUCAAUUCUGUACUAAAGUGUUUUAUUUUA